CGAAAGUUAGAGGUUCGAAGGCGAUCAGAUACCGCCCUAGUUCUAACCAUAAACGAUGCCAGCCAGCGAUCCGGCUGUGUUCCUCAAAUGACACGCCGGGCAGCUUCCGGGAAACCAAAGCUUUUGGGUUCCGGGGGAAGUAUGGUUGCAAAGCUGAAACUUAAAGGAAUUGACGGAGGGUCACCACCAGACAUGGAGCUUGCGGUUCAAUUUGACUCAACGCAGCGAACUCUACCAGGCCAGGACACAGGAAGGAUUGACAGAUUAAGAGCUCUUUCUUGAUUUUGUGGGUAGUGGUGCAUGGCCGCUCUUGGUCCUUGUAGUGAUUUGUCUGGUUCAUUCCGAUAACGGACGAGGCUCUAGCCUACUAAAUAGACGCUCGGAUCAUUCCUAGUCCGGCGUUUCUUCUUAGAGGGACUGGCGGCGUUUAGCCGCACGAGGCAGAGCAAUAGCAGGUCUGUAAUGCCCUUAGAUGUCCUGGGCCACACGCGUGCUACAUUGAAGGAAUCAUCGUGUGCUUUCCCUUUCUGACAGGAAUGGGUAACCCGUUGAACCUCCUUCGUGCUGGGGAUAGGGGAUUGCAAUUAUCCCCCUUGAACGAGGAAUGCCUAGUAAGCGUGAGUCAUCAUCUCGCGUUGAUUAUGUCCCUGGCCCUUGUCCACACCGCCCGUCGCUAUUACCGAUUGAAUGUCUUAGUGAGGACUUCGGAUUGGCUGUCGAUUUGGCUUUAGGGUCGAGCCGACGUGCCGAAAAGAUGUCCGAACUUGGUCAUUUAGAGGAAAUAAAAGUCGUAACAAGG
rnacentral:rRNA from 2 species